CACUAAGUCACUUUGUCUUUAUGGCAAAUGUGAGAUGCAGUGUAUGGAAUGUCAAAUUUCUAGUAUGAGAAAUUAACGAUUUAAGUCCUUCUUAAAUGAGGCCAUUUACCCAUAGAGGGUGCUAGGCCCGUAUAACGUUAAUGAUUACUAGAUGGCAUUUCCAAAGAGUCGUGUUGCUUGAUAGUGCAGCACUAAGUGGGUGGUAAACUCCAUCUAAAACUAAAUAUAACCAUGAGACCGAUAGUAAACAAGUACCGUGAGGGAAAGUUGAAAAGAACUCUGAAUAGAGAGUUAAAUAGUACGUGAAACUGCUUAGAGGUUAAGCCCGAUGAACCUGAAUAUCCAUUAUAGAAAAUUCAUCAUUAUGAUUUUAAUAUUAAUAAUAUUAUAAUAAUGGUGUGCAUUUUUUCUAUAACGGACAUUGUAAUCUAUUAACAUAAAUAUAUUUAUCAUAAGAUCAAUGAUGCGUAAGUUUAUUCAAAUUAUUUUGCUUGCAAUUUAACAUAGAAUAAAUGCUCUUGAUUUGAUAAAGUGUUGAUAGAUUUAUUGUAUAUAGUGCUUAAAUAUUUAUAUUUUAUAAUAGCAUAUUAAUCAUUGAUUUUUAUGUUUAUUAUAUGCACUUAUAUGAUUAACAAUGCGAAAGAUUCAGGAUACCUUCGGGACCCGUCUUGAAACACGGACCAAGGAGUCUAACAUAUUUGCAAGUUAUUGGGUAUUAAAACCUAAUAGCGAAAUUAACAUAACUUUUAAUGGGAUUAGUUUUUAGAUUAUUUAUAGUCUAUUAAUUCAAUCCCGGGGCGUUCUAUACAGUUAUGUAUAAUAAUAUUUAUAUUAUUUAUACCUCUAACUAGAGCGUACCUUGAGCAUAUAUGCUGUGACCCGAAAGAUGGUGAACUAUACUUGAUCAGGUUGAAGUCAGGGGAAACCCUGAUGGAAGACCGAAACAGUUCUGACGUGCAAAUCGAUUGUCAGAAUUGAG
rnacentral:rRNA from 1 species